rnacentral:rRNA from 1 species
UACAGAGGGGGCAAGCGUUGUUCGGAAUUACUGGGCGUAAAGGGCGCGUAGGCGGCUUUCUAAGUCAGACGUGAAAUCCCUCGGCUCAACCGGGGAACUGCGCCUGAGACUGGAAGGCUUGAAUCCGGGAGAGGGAUGUGGAAUUCCAGGUGUAGCGGUGAAAUGCGUAGAUAUCUGGAGGAACACCGGUGGCGAAGGCGGCAUCCUGGACCGGUAUUGACGCUGAGGCGCGAAAGCCAGGGGAGCAAACGGG